rnacentral:rRNA from 1 species
GACGAACGCUGGCGGCGUGCUUAACACAUGCAAGUCGAGCGAUGAAAGCCUUAUGAACUAUUCGUAGUGAUUGAGGCCGGAUUAGCGGCGGACGGGUGAGUAACGCGUGAGCAACCUACCUUAAACAACGGGAUAGCCUCGGGAAACCGGGAUUAAUACCGUAUGAGACCCCGCCUUCACAUGAAGAAGAGGUUAAAGAUUUAUCGGUUUAAGAUGGGCUCGCGUCUGAUUAGCUAGUUGGUGAGAUAAAAGCCCACCAAGGCAACGAUCAGUAACCGGCUUGAGAGAGUGAACGGUCACAUUGGAACUGAGACACGGUCCAAACUCCUACGGGAGGCAGCAGUGGGGAAUAUUGCACAAUGGGGGAAACCCUGAUGCAGCGACGCCGCGUGAGCGAUGAAGGAAUUCGUUUCGUAAAGCUCUGUCCAAGGGGAAGAUAAUGACAGUACCCUUGGAGGAAGCCCCGGCUAAAUACGUGCCAGCCGCCGCGGUAAGAC